UGGUGACACCGGGAGCCCUUCACCUGCUCACCCUGACCCCUUAGUCCAGCCCUUCCAGGUGAUGCCCCACUGGGAGCCCCAGGCACGACACCCCAAACUGGCACAGACAGCCCAUCGUCCCAGCAAAGGUGUCCCCUGGCACUGGCUCCACCAGGGCUGAGACCCGGAAAACCUUUUCCUUUGCACGGACCUGGGGGGGGUCCCCCUGGGGAGCAGCACAGGGUCCAUCCCUGUGGGAUUCCUCCCCCCUCCCUCUGCCCCACUCCUGCCCACGACCUGAGAGGACAAAGCCAGCAGCGACCUCUGCUCCUGUUGCACGAGGACAGGUCACCUGCCCACAUCUGAACAGAAACACACGGAAACAACUCCCUGGCAGGGAGGAGCAGCUUCCUCCCAGCCUGCUCAGGAGCAGCUCUCUUCCCAGCCUGCCCCAGCUCCUGGAUUUGAGAGCUGAGCGUGGGACAGGCGGCUGACUCACACCUGAGACAGCAAGAACUUUCACCACCUGUAAUAAACCACCCGCGUCCAACCCACAA